UACGUAGGGUGCGAGCGUUAAUCGGAAUUACUGGGCGUAAAGCGUGCGCAGGCGGUUUGCUAAGACAGGUGUGAAAUCCCCGGGCUUAACCUGGGAACUGCGCUUGUGACUGGCAGGCUAGAGUACGGUAGAGGGGGUGGAAUCCUGGUGUAGCAGUGAAAUGCGUAGAUAUCAGGAGGAACACCGAUGGAGAAGGCAGCCCCCUGGGCCUGUACUGACGCUCAUGCACGAAAGCGUGGGGAGGCAAACAGGAUUAGAUACCCGGGUA
rnacentral:rRNA from 1 species